GAUGAACGCUGGCGGCGUGCCUAAUACAUGCAAGUCGAGCGAACGGACGAGAAGCUUGCUUCUCUGAUGUUAGCGGCGGACGGGUGGGUAACACGUGGAUAACCUACCUAUAAGACUGGGAUAACUUCGGGAAACCGGAGCUAAUACCGGAUAAUAUUUUGAACCGCAUGGUUCAAAAGUGAAAGACGGUCUUGCUGUCACUUAUAGAUGGAUCCGCGCUGCAUUAGCUAGUUGGUAAGGUAACGGCUUACCAAGGCAACGAUGCAUAGCCGACCUGAGAGGGUGAUCGCCCACACGGGAACUGAGACACGGUCCAGACUCCUACGGGAGGCAGCAGUAGGGAAUCUUCCGAAAUGGGCGAAAGCCUGACGGAGCAACGCCGCGUGAGUGAUGAAGGUCUUCGGAUCGUAAAACUCUGUUAUUAGGGAAGAACAUAUGUGUAAGUAACUGUGCACAUCUUGACGGUACCUAAUCAGAAAGCCACGGCUAACUACGUG
rnacentral:rRNA from 1 species